CUCAGGAUGAACGCUAGCGGCAGGCUUAACACAUGCAAGUCGAGGGGCAGCGGGGAGGAAGCUUGCUUUCUCCGCCGGCGACCGGCGCACGGGUGAGUAACACGUAUGCAACCUGCCCCUGUCAGGGGGACAACCCGCCGAAAGGCGGGCUAAACCCGCGUACAUGCCACCGGGGCAUCCCGGAGGCAGGAAAGGCUUCGGCCGGACAGGGAUGGGCAUGCGGCGCAUUAGGCAGUAGGCGGGGUAACGGCCCACCUAACCGACGAUGCGUAGGGGUUCUGAGAGGAAGGUCCCCCACACUGGUACUGAGACACGGACCAGACUCCUACGGGAGGCAGCAGUGAGGAAUAUUGGUCAAUGGUCGGGAGACUGAACCAGCCAAGCCGCGUGAGGGAUGAAGGUACAGAGUAUCGUAAACCUCUUUUGUCAGGGAACAAAGGCGGGGACGUGUCCCCGGAUGAGUGUACCUGAAGAAAAAGCAUCGGCUAACUCCGUGCCAGCAGCCGCGGUAAUACGGAGGAUGCGAGCGUUAUCCGGAUUUAUUGGGUUUAAAGGGUGCGCAGGCGGUCUGUUAAGUCAGCGGUCAAAGCCCGGGGCUCAACCCCGGCCCGCCGUUGAAACUGGCAGUCUCGAGUUGGAGAGAAGUAUGCGGAAUGCGCGGUGUAGCGGUGAAAUGCAUAGAUAUCGCGCAGAACUCCGAUUGCGAAGGCAGCAUGCCGGCUCCACACUGACGCUGAGGCACGAAAGCGUGGGUAUCGAACAGGAUUAGAUACCCUGGUAGUCCACGCAGUAAACGAUGAAUGCUGGCUGUCCGGGGGGGAUUGACCCCUGGGUGGCGAAGCGAAAGCGAUAAGCAUUCCACCUGGGGAGUACGCCGGCAACGGUGAAACUCAAAGGAAUUGACGGGGGCCCGCACAAGCGGAGGAACAUGUGGUUUAAUUCGAUGAUACGCGAGGAACCUUACCCGGGCUCAAACGGGGAGUGACUCAGGCAGAGACGCCUGUUUCCCACGGGACACUCCCCGAGGUGCUGCAUGGUUGUCGUCAGCUCGUGCCGUGAGGUGUCGGCUUAAGUGCCAUAACGAGCGCAACCCCCGCCGUGGGUUGCUAACAGAUAACGCUGAGGACUCUGCACGGACUGCCGGCGCAAGCCGCGAGGAAGGCGGGGAUGACGUCAAAUCAGCACGGCCCUUACGUCCGGGGCGACACACGUGUUACAAUGGGUGGUACAGCGGGAAGCCAGGCGGCGACGCCGAGCGGAACCCGAAAUCCACUCUCAGUUCGGAUCGGAGUCUGCAACCCGACUCCGUGAAGCUGGAUUCGCUAGUAAUCGCGCAUCAGCCAUGGCGCGGUGAAUACGUUCCCGGGCCUUGUACACACCGCCCGUCAAGCCAUGGGAGCCGAGGGCGCUUGAAGUGCGUCGCCGCGAGGCGCGCCCUAGAGCGAAAUCGGUGACUGGGGCUAAGUCGUAACAAGGUA
rnacentral:rRNA from 1 species